UUAAUCGGGGCAGGGUGAGUCGACCCCUAAGGCGAGGCCGAAAGGCGUAGUCGAUGGGAAACGGGUUAAUAUUCCCGUACUUGGUGUUACUGCGAAGGGGGGACGGAGAAGGCUAUGUUGGCCGGGCGACGGUUGUCCCGGUUUAAGCGUGUAGGUGUGUGUUCCAGGUAAAUCCGGUUCACUUUAACACUGAGGCGUGACGACGAGGCACUACGGUGCUGAAGCAACAAAUGCCCUGCUUCCAGGAAAAGCCUCUAAGCAUCAGGUAACAUCAAAUCGUACCCCAAACCGACACAGGUGGUCAGGUAGAGAAUACCAAGGCGCUUGAGAGAACUCGGGUGAAGGAACUAGGCAAAAUGGUGCCGUAACUUCGGGAGAAGGCACGCUGACAUGUAGGUGAAGUGAUUUACUCAUGGAGCUGAAGUCAGUCGAAGAUACCAGCUGGCUGCAACUGUUUAUUAAAAACACAGCACUGUGCAAACACGAAAGUGGACGUAUACGGUGUGACGCCUGCCCGGUGCCGGAAGGUUAAUUGAUGGGGUCAGCGCAAGCGAAGCUCCUGAUCGAAGCCCCGGUAAACGGCGGCCGUAACUAUAACGGUCCUAAGGUAGCGAAAUUCCUUGUCGGGUAAGUUCCGACCUGCACGAAUGGCGUAAUGAUGGCCAGGCUGUCUCCACCCGAGACUCAGUGAAAUUGAACUCGCUGUGAAGAUGCAGUGUACCCGCGGCAAGACGGAAAGACCCCGUGAACCUUUACUAUAGCUUGACACUGAACAUUGAGCCUUGAUGUGUAGGAUAGGUGGGAGGCUUUGAAGUGUGGACGCCAGUCUGCAUGGAGCCGACCUUGAAAUACCACCCUUUAAUGUUUGAUGUUCUAACGUGGACCCGUUAUCCGGGUUGCGGACAGUGUCUGGUGGGUAGUUUGACUGGGGCGGUCUCCUCCUAAAGAGUAACGGAGGAGCACGAAGGUUGGCUAAUCCUGGUCGGACAUCAGGAGGUUAGUGCAAUGGCAUAAGCCAGCUUGACUGCGAGCGUGACGGCGCGAGCAGGUGCGAAAGCAGGUCAUAGUGAUCCGGUGGUUCUGAAUGGAAGGGCCAUCGCUCAACGGAUAAAAGGUACUCCGGGGAUAACAGGCUGAUACCGCCCAAGAGUUCAUAUCGACGGCGGUGUUUGGCACCUCGAUGUCGGCUCAUCACAUCCUGGGGCUGAAGUAGGUCCCAAGGGUAUGGCUGUUCGCCAUUUAAAGUGGUACGCGAGCUGGGUUUAGAACGUCGUGAGACAGUUCGGUCCCUAUCUGCCGUGGGCGCUGGAGAA
rnacentral:rRNA from 1 species